UACGGAGGGAGCUAGCGUUGUUCGGAAUUACUGGGCGUAAAGCGCACGUAGGCGGCUUUGUAAGUUAGAGGUGAAAGCCUGGAGCUCAACUCCAGAAUUGCCUUUAAGACUGCAUCGCUUGAAUCCGGGAGAGGUGAGUGGAAUUCCGAGUGUAGAGGUGAAAUUCGUAGAUAUUCGCAAGAACACCAGUGGCGAAGGCGGCCAACUGGCUCGACACUGACGCUGAGGCGCGAAAGCGUGGGGAGCAAACAGG
rnacentral:rRNA from 1 species